GAUAACCGCUGAAAGCAUCUAAGCGGGAAGCGAGCCCUGAGAUGAGUCUUCCCUGAUACUUUAAGUAUCCUAAAGGGUUGUUCGAGACUAGAACGUUGAUAGGCAGGGUGUGUAAGCGUUGUGAGGCGUUGAGCUAACCUGUACUAAUUGCCCGUGAGACUUAACCAU
rnacentral:rRNA from 1 species